CUAGCUCCCGGUCACAGAGAGCUUUGUCUACUUUGCCUUCUUCAAUGGAGCAAAGAAUGAUGAAUUGGUCUGGAUCAGUUUGCUUCAUGGCCCUUUGCUUUUGGAUCAUCUCACUGCUGUGUACUGGCAACUUAAGGUUGAGCGGUGACGAACUUGGUUGUGUUGAGCUAAAAUUGAAGUCAUGUUGGUUUCUUUUUUAAUUUCGAGUGUUGAAUAUGAUGCCAGUUGUCUUUGGAUUUAAUGUCAAGAUAUUACUUUAAUAUUUCCUCUGUUUAUUUGAAUAUUAAAUCUGUCGGUCAAGCUCUUUAUGAAAAUCUUAGAUAAUUUUCCGUUCUUAA